AUGGGGGCUGGGGAUUUAGCUCAGUGGCAUAAGCACCUGCCUUGCAAGCAGGUAGUUGUGAGUUCGGUCCCCAGUACCGAUAAAAAGGAAAAAGACAAAAAAAAAAAAAAAAAAAAAAAAAGUUUGUUCAACAUGGCUGGGGAUUUAGCUCAGCGGCAUGGCUGCCUGCCUUGCAAGCGGGCGGUCGUGAAUUCGAUCCCUGGUACUGAUAAAAAGGAAAAAGACAAAAAAAAAAAAAAAAAAGUUUGUUCAACACUCUGUAGAAUAUGCCAAACUGCUAAUGCUGGUGGUCUCUCUCCCACUAUCACAAAUUUUCAAACCAACAACUACUAAUACCUAUUUUUAGAAUGGAAAAAACUCACCUUUUUUUUUGGUCUUUUUUUUCGUUUUUAUCUGUACCAGGGAUCAAACUCACGACUGCCUGCUUGCAAGGCAGACGCUUAUGUGGCUGAGCUAAAUCC
rnacentral:lncRNA from 1 species